rnacentral:rRNA from 1 species
GUAGGUGGCAAGCGUUGUCCGGGAAUUAUUGGGGCGUAAAGCGCGCGCAGGCGGUUCUUUAAGUCUGAUGUGAAAGCCCACGGGCUCAACCGUGGGAGGGUCAUUGGAAACUGGAGAACUUGAGUACAGAAGAGGAAAGCGGAAUUCCACGUGUAGCGGUGAAAUGCGUAGAGAUGUGGAGGAACACCAGUGGCGAAGGCGGCUUUCUGGUCUGUAACUGACGCUGAGGCGCGAAAGCGUGGGGAGCAGACAGGAUUAGAUACCCUGGUAGUCCACGCCGUAAACGAUGAGUGCUAAGUGUUAGGGGGUUUCCGCCCCUUAGUGCUGCAGCUAACGCAUUAAGCACUCCGCCUGGGGAGUACGGCCGCAAAGGCUG